rnacentral:rRNA from 1 species
CCUACGGGUGGCAGCAGUGGGGAAUAUUGGGCAAUGGGCGCAAGCCUGACCCAGCAACGCCGCGUGAAGGAAGAAGGCUUUCGGGUUGUAAACUUCUUUUCUCAGGGACGAAGAAAGUGACGGUACCUGAUGAAUAAGCCACGGCUAACUACGUGCCAGCAGCCGCGGGAAUCCGUAGGGGGCAAGCGUUAUCCGGAUUUAUUGGGUGUAAAGGGCGUGUAGGCGGGAGCGCAAGUCAGAUGUGAAAACUCAGGGCUCAACCCUGAGCCUGCAUUGGAAACUGUGUUUCUUGAGUGCUGGAGAGGCAAUCGGAAUUACGUGUGUAGCGGUGAAAUGCGUAGAUAUACAGAGGAACACCAGUGGCGAAGGCGGAUUGCUGGACAGUAACUGACGCUGAGGCGCGAAAGCGUGGGGAGCAAACAGGAUUAGAUACCCGUGUAGUC